rnacentral:rRNA from 1 species
GACGAACGCUGGCGGCGUGCUUAACACAUGCAAGUCGAACGAGAAGAGAUGAGAAGCUUGCUUCUUAUCGAUUCGAGUGGCAAACGGGUGAGUAACGCGUAAGCAACCUGCCCUUCAGAUGGGGACAACAGCUGGAAACGGCUGCUAAUACCGAAUACGUUCUUUUUGUCGCAUGGCAGAGGGAAGAAAGGGAGGCUCUUCGGAGCUUUCGCUGAAGGAGGGGCUUGCGUCUGAUUAGCUAGUUGAGGGUAACGCCCACCUAAGGCGACGAUCAGUAGCCGGUCUGAGAGGAUGAACGGCCACAUUGGGACUGAGACACGGCCCAGACUCCUACGGGAGGCAGCAGUGGGAAUCUUCGCAAUGGCGAAAGUCUGACGGAG